GUCCACGCCGUAAACGAUGAUAACUAGCUGUCCGGGUACUUGGUAUUUGGGUGGCGCAGCUAACGCAUUAAGUUAUCCGCCUGGGGAGUACGGUCGCAAGAUUAAAAACUCAAAGGAAUUGACGGGGGCCUGCACAAGCGGUGGAGCAUGUGGUUUAAUUCGAAGCAACGCGCAGAACCUUACCAGCGUUUGACAUCCCGCGCUAUCCAGAGAGAUUUGGAGUUCCCUUCGGGGACGCGGUGACAGGUGCUGCAUGGCUGUCGU
rnacentral:rRNA from 1 species